rnacentral:tRNA from 1 species
GCGGGCGUAGCUCAAUGGUAGAGCUCCUGCUUCCCAAGCAGGUGACGGGGGUUCGAUUCCCCUCGCCCGCUCCA